CAGUAGCCGCGGUAAUACGUAGGGCGCAAGCGUUAAUCGGAAUUACUGGGCGUAAAGCGUGCGCAGGCGGUUCGUUAAGACAGAUGUGAAAUCCCCGGGCUUAACCUGGGAACUGCAUUUGUGACUGGCGGGCUAGAGUAUGGCAGAGGGGGGUAGAAUUCCACGUGUAGCAGUGAAAUGCGUAGAGAUGUGGAGGAAUACCGAUGGCGAAGGCAGCCCCCUGGGCCAAUACUGACGCUCAUGCACGAAAGCGUGGGGAGCAAACAGGAUUAGAUACCCGGGUAGUCCCUGUCUCUUAUAC
rnacentral:rRNA from 1 species